GAUGAACGCUGGCGGCGUGCCUAAUUCAUGCAAGUCGAGCGAACGGACGAGGAGCUUGCUCCUCUGACGUUAGCGGCGGACGGGUGAGUAACACGUGGAUAACCUACCUAUAAGACUGGGAUAACUUCGGGAAACCGGAGCUAAUACCGGAUCAUAUAUUGAACCGCAUGGUUCAAUAGUGAAAGACGGUUUUGCUGUCACUUAUAGAUGGAUCCGCGCCGCAUUAGCUCGUUGGUAAGGUAACGGCUUACCAAGGCCACGAUGCGUAGCCGACCUGAAAGGGUGAUCGGCCACACUGGGACUGAGACACGGUCCCGACUCCUACGCUGAGCAGCAGUAGGGAAUCGUCCGCCAUGGGCGAAGGAGUGACGGAGCAACGCCGCGUGAGUGAUGAAGGUCUUCGGAUCGUAAAACUCUGUUAGUAGGGAAGAGCAAAUGUGUAAGUAACUAUGCACGUCAUGACGGUACCUAAUCAGAAAGCCACGGCUAACUACGUG
rnacentral:rRNA from 1 species